UACGUAGGGAGCGAGCGUUACCCGGAAUUACUGGGCGUAAAGUGCGCGUAGGCGGCUUGGUAAGUCUUUUGUGAAAGCUCCCGGCUUAACUGGGAGAGUGCAGAGGAAACUAUCUGGCUAGAGGGCAGCAGAGGAAAGCGGAAUUCUCGGUGUAGCGGUGAAAUGCGUAGAUAUCGAGAGGAACACCAGUGGCGAAGGCGGCUUUCUGGGCUGUACCUGACGCUGAGGCGCGAGAGCGUGGGGAGCAAAC
rnacentral:rRNA from 1 species